UUUAUGGUUUGAAAAAGACUCAGA
rnacentral:siRNA from 1 species